rnacentral:misc_RNA from 1 species
GUGAGUCAUCGAAUCUUUGAACGCACAUUGCGCCCGCCAGUAUUCUGGCGGGCAUGCCUGUUCGAGCGUCAUUUCAACCAUCAAGCCCCGGGCUUGUGUUGGGGACCUGCGGCUGCCGCAGGCCCUGAAAACCAGUGGCGGGCUCGCUAGUCACUCCGAGCGUAGUAGUUUACACCUCGCUCAGGGCGUGCUGCGGGUUCCGGCCGUUAAAAAGCCUUAUUUACCCCAAGGUUGACCUCGGAUCAGGUAGGAAGACCCGCUGAACUUAAGCAUAUCAAUAAGCGGAGGA